rnacentral:rRNA from 1 species
UGGGGAAUAUUGCGCAAUGGGCGAAAGCCUGACGCAGCAACGCCGCGUGAAGGAAGAAGGUUUUCGGAUCGUAAACUUCUAUCGACAGGGAAGAAGAACCGGGAUUAUCCCGGCGUGACGGUACCUGAGUAAGAAGCCCCGGCUAACUACGUGCCAGCAGCCGCGGUAAAACGUAGGGGGCAAGCGUUAUCCGGAAUUACUGGGCGUAAAGGGUGAGUAGGCGGUUAUACAAGUCAUGUGUGAAAGACCAUCGCUUAACGAUGGGUGUGCACAAGAAACUGUAUGACUUGAGUACAGGAGAGGUAAGCGGAAUUCCCAGUGUAGCGGUGAAAUGCGUAGAUAUUGGGAGGAACACCAGUGGCGAAGGCGGCUUACUGGACUGAAACUGACGCUGAGUCACGAAAGCGUGGGGAGCAAACA